UUUUAACCACUGAAAGGUUAAAAACUGCCGCAGAUGAUUCUAAUGUGUGGCUGACGUCAACCUUCCCCAUGGGUCUGGGACUCCGCGAUGGCUGACGGGCCAGCAUCUCUUCUGCCUGGUGUGCAGGCUGGCACAGCUCGAGCCAGCAGCUGCCUUGGAGUCAGGACCAACGUUCCGCUCAGUUCCCCAGUGCCCCCACACUGGAUCUGACAUCCACUUGGCUAUUCCGCACCAUGCCCCCUGCCUGCCAAGAAAUUUAUGGAUCAGCGAGAAGCUAACUGCUAAAUGAAGCAGCCCCCGGCUCAUCCUCUUCAGGAGACACCGUGAAAAGGGAAAUGGAAAGCCGUGCAUACACUGCUUGGGCAGAGAGAUAGAGAAGCUCAGAUCUCUGGCUUGGGAGCAGGAGUCCUGCCAACUGCCCGGGGGACUUCUGGAAAGGAGUCAUCACCAACAAUGUGCUGGGGCCAGUUAAACGUCUCUAGGUAGACCUGCUUAAUUAUGGUGACAUUUAGCAACCCCACACUGGGUUAUUUAAUGAAUAUCUCCUCCUUCAUGGCUCCUAGGAGAAUUCACUCCUCUGUUCUUCUCAUUUAUCUGGCUGGAGUUCCCUGGGAAGCUAGUUUAGUAGGGCAAAAAGGAAGUAGAAAAGCUUGGAUUCUAAGGUAGUGAGCCAAACUUUCAAGAAGACAGCUGAGAAAGCAUACCUCUGAUUUGCUUCCAGCUCCAACUUCUUUCUUAUUUUUAAUCCAUGCCAGAAAUGCCAGAAGACAAGAUUGCAAGGGGCACUCUGAAUCUGCCAAGUUCCAUGAUGUUCUGUGACUCCUACCAUGGCUGAUUUCAAUCUACCAACAUUUAAAUAGCUGGCUGUCUUAUCCAUUCCAUCCUCAAACAUGGACAGUUUUACGUCCUCUAAGAGUCCCCAUUUACAUCUCAUGAAGCCACCAGGAUUUAAACACCAGAAACGCAUGCCACAAAAGGGUGGUGCUGUGUCUAACAACAACUUGGGAAAACAGAUAGUAAGAGACUCUAAGAGACCCCGGGAAGCCUGGAAAUAGAGAAAAGCCACAUCGUUGCAGAGGAGAGACUCAAAGAUAGGCAUGGAGAGGGAUGUAUAGAUGCCAUCAUACAGAGCAGGGCACUAAGCUUCCAGAAGGCUUCCAGUUUCAUUAGCCCUUUUCUUCUCAUUAGAAGAAAUCUAGGAAGUGUGAAUAACACAUUUAAACAUCAUUUAAAAGUGAUCCAGGAUCCAGGUGUGGUGGCUCACACCUGUAAUGCCAGCACUUUGGUAGGCCGAAGCAGGUGGAUCACUUGAGGUCAGGAGUUCGAGACCAGCCUGGCCAAAAUGGUGAAACCCCGUCUCUACUAAAAAUACAAAAAAAAAAAAAAAAUAGCUGGGCAUGGUGGCGAGCACCUUUAAUCCCAGCUAAUUGGGAGGCUGAGGCAGGAGAAUUGCUUGAACCCGGGAUGCAGAGGCUGCAGUGAGCUGAGAUUGUGCCAUUGCACUCCAGCCUGGGCAACAAGAGUGAAAUGCUGUCUCAAAAAAAAAAAAAAAAAAAAAAAGCGAUCCAGGAAAGGAAGCACUCACCUGAAAAGUUACUGUGGGAUCCAGAAGAGCUAGGAAUGGUGCUUGUUAAGUCCCUGGGCAAUGUGGCACAACCAUGGGGCCACCCCAUUGAGCCAUGUGGGUGCAAGGGCCACCUGCCAACGAGUUUCUGGACAGCCCAAGGAAGUAUGGUAUGGCUUGUGUGUGCAGACACCAACUUGGUGCUAUCUCCAAAGGUCUGCUGCAUUGCAGAGAGAUAACACUCUCUUUAUAAAACAAGCUCCAAAGAAUAAAAAGACAAGGGAAGGUCACACACUAUUGCUUUUAGCAAUGAACAUGAGUUCCAUAGUAAUGGGAAUUGACCUUUAUAACAAGCAGAUGUAGAUAAUAAUAACAAAAGGCAACAUGGACUGCUCACCAGGCACUGUUUACACACUUUUCAUAUAUUGAUAUUUACUCCUCCGGACCACUCUAAGAGGUAGGUGCUUAUUAUUAAGCCCAUUUUACAGCUGAGGAAACUGAGGCCCAGACCACCUCAAUAACUUGCCUAAGCUCACAUGCUAGUAAGCAGCAGAGUGAUACUGAAGCCUGGCAGCAUGGCUCAGAGUCACGAGGGCUGCACUGUGUAUGAGAUCUCCCCUCUGCAGCACUUUGCACUGGCCACUGUGCCUUCUGGGCAGAGGCACAUUUCCUGAUUUUCCUUUUUGACUGCAAGCUCCUCCAGGGCAUAGACCCAGAGUGUCUGGCUCUCACUGAGUCCCCAGAGAAGUCAGUUCUUGACUUGUAGUACGGUCUUGCAAGGCAGAGGUACUGUCUGGUUCGAACUUCUGGGCACUGAUUCUGCUUUAUCCUCUCAGAGGAGGAAGGAUCCUUGCCGACGCUGAGUUUACACAAGAAUCAGAAAGAGUAACAUUUGUAAUAGUCACUGAAAUGAAAGCAAAUAGACUGCUAGUGUGAGUUAUUUGCAGUGAGGCUACAAGGGCAGAGACAUGGCAAGGAAAAAGGUCUCUAGAUCAGUUCAGACCGUGGCAAACAGAGUGUUCCAUUACUGACUCUGGGGCCAGAGGAUGCUCUACUGAGACCUGCUGCUUCUGCUCCCCACUGCAUGGCUGUCUUCCUUCUGGAAAAAAUACGUUUGUAACAUUGGCUAAUUAAGUUAGGGACUUUAAACUUACAAACCCCUCCUGAGACAUUGAAGUCGUAAUAAGCAUCUGUUGGUGGAGGAAUGAAUGAGUGAAUGAAUGAAUGAAGGUUUCCCUCAACUGCCUGGUACUGUUGGAGAAAUUCACUGCCAGUGGACCACAAUGGGGAGAAAGACUCCCAGAUGCCUUUUCUACAGCUCCCGAGUCUCCCAGCCUUGAAACACUGAAUCCUCAAGAUUUUAUUCCCUCUGUCCAAUGCCCUGCAUGUACGGGGCAGAAUCAUUACAAGGGUCCAGUAUGCAGCUGAGCCUCGGGGUUUCACAUCUGUGACUUACAGAGAAAAGAAGGCUUCAGGUUCUCGGUUCAUUGCCCCACAGUGACACACUCUUCCCCAGACCGGAAGAGGAACUCAGUCUCCUCCUCGCAUCCUGCCUAUGCUUCAUCCAUCC
rnacentral:lncRNA from 1 species